GGUCCCUUCGUCUAGUGGCCUAGGACGCUGCCCUUUCACGGCAGAAACACGGGUUCGAGUCCCGUAGGGAUCA
rnacentral:tRNA from 1 species